rnacentral:rRNA from 1 species
UUAAGCGACUAAGCGUACACGGUGGAUGCCCUGGCAGUCAGAGGCGAUGAAGGACGUGCUAAUCUGCGAUAAGCGUCGGUAAGGUGAUAUGAACCGUUAUAACCGGCGAUGUCCGAAUGGGGAAACCCAGUGUGUUCCGACACACUAUCAUUAACUGAAUCCAUAGGUUAAUGAGGCGAACCGGGGGAACUGAAACAUCUAAGUACCCCGAGGAAAAGAAAUCAACCGAGAUUCCCCCAGUAGCGGCGAGCGAACGGGGAGGAGCCCAGAGCCUGAAUCAGUGUGUGUGUUAGUGGAAGCGUCUGGAAAGGCGUGCGAUACAGGGUGACAGCCCCGUACACAAAAAUGCACAUGCUGUGAGCUCGAAGAGUAGGGCGGGACACGUGGUAUCCUGUCUGAAUAUGGGGGGACCAUCCUCCAAGGCUAAAUACUCCUGACUGACCGAUAGUGAACCAGUACCGUGAGGGAAAGGCGAAAAGAACCCCGGCGAGGGGAGUGAAAAAGAACCUGAAACCGUGUACGUACAAGCAGUGGGAGCCUCUUUAUGGGGUGACUGCGUACCUUUUGUAUAAUGGGUCAGCGACUUAUAUUCUGUAGCAAGGUUAACCGAAUAGGGGAGCCGGAGGGAAACCGAGUCUUAACUGGGCGUUAAGUUGCAGGGUAUAGACCCGAAACCCGGUGAUCUAGCCAUGGGCAGGUUGAAGGUUGGGUAACACUAACUGGAGGACCGAACCGACUAAUGUUGAAAAAUUAGCGGAUGACUUGUGGCUGGGGGUGAAAGGCCAAUCAAACCGGGAGAUAGCUGGUUCUCCCCGAAAGCUAUUUAGGUAGCGCCUCGUGAAUUCAUCUCCGGGGGUAGAGCACUGUUUCGGCAAGGGGGUCAUCCCGACUUACCAACCCGAUGCAAACUGCGAAUACCGGAGAAUGUUAUCACGGGAGACACACGGCGGGUGCUAACGUCCGUCGUGAAGAGGGAAACAACCCAGACCGCCAGCUAAGGUCCCAAAGUCAUGGUUAAGUGGGAAACGAUGUGGGAAGGCCCAGACAGCCAGGAUGUUGGCUUAGAAGCAGCCAUCAUUUAAAGAAAGCGUAAUAGCUCACUGGUCGAGUCGGCCUGCGCGGAAGAUGUAACGGGGCUAAACCAUGCACCGAAGCUGCGGCAGCGACGCUGAUGCGUUGUUGGGUAGGGGAGCGUUCUGUAAGCCUGUGAAGGUGUGCUGUGAGGCAUGCUGGAGGUAUCAGAAGUGCGAAUGCUGACAUAAGUAACGAUAAAGCGGGUGAAAAGCCCGCUCGCCGGAAGACCAAGGGUUCCUGUCCAACGUUAAUCGGGGCAGGGUGAGUCGACCCCUAAGGCGAGGCCGAAAGGCGUAGUCGAUGGGAAACAGGUUAAUAUUCCUGUACUUGGUGUUACUGCGAAGGGGGGACGGAGAAGGCUAUGUUGGCCGGGCGACGGUUGUCCCGGUUUAAGCGUGUAGGCUGGUUUUCCAGGCAAAUCCGGAAAAUCAAGGCUGAGGCGUGAUGACGAGGCACUACGGUGCUGAAGCAACAAAUGCCCUGCUUCCAGGAAAAGCCUCUAAGCAUCAGGUAACAUCAAAUCGUACCCCAAACCGACACAGGUGGUCAGGUAGAGAAUACCAAGGCGCUUGAGAGAACUCGGGUGAAGGAACUAGGCAAAAUGGUGCCGUAACUUCGGGAGAAGGCACGCUGAUAUGUAGGUGAAGCGACUUGCUCGUGGAGCUGAAAUCAGUCGAAGAUACCAGCUGGCUGCAACUGUUUAUUAAAAACACAGCACUGUGCAAACACGAAAGUGGACGUAUACGGUGUGACGCCUGCCCGGUGCCGGAAGGUUAAUUGAUGGGGUCAGCGCAAGCGAAGCUCUUGAUCGAAGCCCCGGUAAACGGCGGCCGUAACUAUAACGGUCCUAAGGUAGCGAAAUUCCUUGUCGGGUAAGUUCCGACCUGCACGAAUGGCGUAAUGAUGGCCAGGCUGUCUCCACCCGAGACUCAGUGAAAUUGAACUCGCUGUGAAGAUGCAGUGUACCCGCGGCAAGACGGAAAGACCCCGUGAACCUUUACUAUAGCUUGACACUGAACACUGGUCCUUGAUGUGUAGGAUAGGUGGGAGGCUUUGAAGUGUGGACGCCAGUCUGCAUGGAGCCGUCCUUGAAAUACCACCCUUUAAUGGCUGGUGUUCUAACGUUGGCCCCUUACCGGGGUUGCGGACAGUGUCUGGUGGGUAGUUUGACUGGGGCGGUCUCCUCCUAAAGAGUAACGGAGGAGCACGAAGGUUGGCUAAUCCUGGUCGGACAUCAGGAGGUUAGUGCAAUGGCAUAAGCCAGCUUGACUGCGAGCGUGACGGCGCGAGCAGGUGCGAAAGCAGGUCAUAGUGAUCCGGUGGUUCUGAAUGGAAGGGCCAUCGCUCAACGGAUAAAAGGUACUCCGGGGAUAACAGGCUGAUACCGCCCAAGAGUUCAUAUCGACGGCGGUGUUUGGCACCUCGAUGUCGGCUCAUCACAUCCUGGGGCUGAAGUAGGUCCCAAGGGUAUGGCUGUUCGCCAUUUAAAGUGGUACGCGAGCUGGGUUUAGAACGUCGUGAGACAGUUCGGUCCCUAUCUGCCGUGGGCGCUGGAGAACUGAGGGGGGCUGCUCCUAGUACGAGAGGACCGGAGUGGACGCAUCACUGGUGUUCGGGUUGUCAUGCCAAUGGCACUGCCCGGUAGCUAAAUGCGGAAGAGAUAAGUGCUGAAAGCAUCUAAGCACGAAACUUGCCCCGAGAUGAGUUCUCCCUGAGACAUUAAGUCUCCUGAAGGAACGUUGAAGACGACGACGUUGAUAGGCCGGGUGUGUAAGCGCAGCGAUGCGUUGAGCUAACCGGUACUAAUGAACCGUGAGGCUUAACCUU